rnacentral:rRNA from 1 species
UACGAAGGGGGCUAGCGUUGUUCGGAUUUACUGGGCGUAAAGCGCACGUAGGCGGAUCUUUAAGUCAGAGGUGAAAUCCCAAGGCUCAACCUUGGAACUGCCUUUGAUACUGGGGAUCUCGAGUUCGGGAGAGGUGAGUGGAACUGCGAGUGUAGAGGUGAAAUUCGUAGAUAUUCGCAAGAAUACCAGUGGCGAAGGCGGCUCACUGGCCCGAUACUGACGCUGAGGUGCGAAAGCGUGGGUAGCAAACAGG